AUGAACGCUGGCGGCGUGCCUAAUACAUGCAAGUCGAGCGAACGGACGAGAAGCUUGCUUCUCUGAUGUUAGCGGCGGACGGGUGAGUAACACGUGGAUAACCUACCUAUAAGACUGGGAUAACUUCGGGAAACCGUAGCUAAUACCGGAUAAUAUUUUGAACCGCAUGGUUCAAAAGUGAAAGACGGUCUUGCUGUCACUUAUAGAUGGAUCCGCGCUGCAUUAGCUAGUUGGUAAGGUAACGGCUUACCAAGGCAACGAUGCAUAGCCGACCUGAGAGGGUGAUCGGCCACACUGGAACUGAGACACGGUCCAGACUCCUACGGGAGGCAGCAGUAGGGAAUCUUCCGCAAUGGGCGAAAGCCUGACGGAGCAGCGCCGCGUGAGUGAUGAAGGUCUUCGGAUCGUAAAACUCUGUUAUUAGGGAAGAACAUAUGUGUAAGUAACUGUGCACAUCUUGACGGUACCUAAUCAGAAAGCCACGGCUAACUACGUG
rnacentral:rRNA from 1 species